AUGAAGUCGCGCCCGACUAAACGUCCCGGCUUCGCGAACGCGGCGGACUGUUACCGCGACUGCUUACUCGUCCCGUCUUGAAACACGGACCAAGGAGUCUAGAAUGCGCGCGAGUCAAAGGGUUGGCUAAACCCCAAGGCGAAACGAAAGUGAUUAUUUCGAUAAAAGGGCCGAUCCGGUUCGUGCGGGAGAGUUAGGGGCGUUGUGGCGGGAGGAUUGCGCGGCGGCGGCGGGGUCGGGGUUCGCCUCGUUCUCGUCGUCGUUCGCGCGUUCUCUCUCCCUCGCUCUUAAUUCGCUCUCCCCGCGAUUCGUCUCCCUAAUAUGAGGACGGCGCAGGCCCGGGGCUCGCCAAUGCUUCCUCCCCGCCGUUAAGGCUCGGUCGUUCGUUUUUCUCGUUCGUCGAGGCGCGGAGAGGCUCUCGUCGGGGCCUUCCCCUCGUACUACCUUCGCUCGUCGUCGCUCCGGUGGCGGCGGGAGAGGUGUACGGGGAGUCGGCUUCCGUGAGAGUUUUUUUCUCCGCGUUCUCGCUUUCGAGGCGGCGACUAGCUGGCGUGGGACGGGCGGCGGGUUCUCCGAGCGCGUAUUCUGGUACCCGAAAGAUGGUGAUCUAUGCCUGGCCAGGAUGAAGCCAGAGGAAACUCUGGUGGAGGUCCGUAGCGAUUCUGACGUGCAAAUCGAUCGUCGGAGCU
rnacentral:rRNA from 1 species